UUAAAUUAGCAAUUUUUAUUGUUGAUAAUUGAAUAAAUUUACUUAUGUUUGCUAUUGGUUAUCGAUUAUUGAUGAUCAAUUAUAGUUGUAGGAGUCUAUGAUGGUAAAAAAAUGAUGAGAUGAGGUGUGUGGUGGUGGUAAAUAAUCACUAGUAAUGGCAAGUUAUGGUGACAAGCGGUGGUAGGUCAAUCGUGGUUAUAGGUGACCGCGGUAGCAAUGGAAUGGGUUGAUAAUGAUGCUCGGAGGUUCAUCAAUGUGGUAUGAGUGAAGACGAUGAUGAUAUAUGUUGUGUAUAUGUAUAUUUAUAUAUCUAUAUUUCUGAGAUUUUUUGUAUA
rnacentral:lncRNA from 1 species